rnacentral:rRNA from 1 species
CCCUUAGAUGUUCUGGGCGGCCCGCGUACUACAAUGGCGUGUGCAGCGAGUGCCGAAGUAGAGUUUUCCGAGGUAUUCUUGCAAUGCUCGUUUUGAUGGGGAUAGACCCUUGCAACUGUUGGUUUUGAACGAGGAAUUCCUUGUAAGCAUGGUUUAUCAUCCGACGCUGAAUGCGUCCCUGCCCUUUGUACACACCGCCCGUCGCUCCUACCGAUGAGUCGUCCGGUGAAGUUCGUAGACCUCGUGAUCGCGGAUCACUGGGGGAAGCAAAAUGAACCUCGCGGUUUAGAGGAAGGAGAAGUCGUAACA